rnacentral:rRNA from 1 species
CAGUCGCCGCGGGAAUACGUAGGGUGCGAGCGUUAAUCGGAAUUACUGGGCGUAAAGCGUGCGCAGGCGGUUCGUUAAGACAGAUGUGAAAUCCCCGGGCUUAACCUGGGAACUGCAUUUGUGACUGGCGAGCUAGAGUAUGGCAGAGGGGGGUAGAAUUCCACGUGUAGCAGUGAAAUGCGUAGAGAUCUGGAGGAAUACCGGUGGCGAAGGCGGCCCCCUGGACAAAGACUGACGCUCAGGUGCGAAAGCGUGGGGAGCAAACAGGAUUAGAUACCCGAGUAGUCCCUGUCUCUUAUAC